rnacentral:rRNA from 1 species
AGCGGCGAACGGGUGAGUAACACAUCGGAACGCGUCCUGUCGUGGGGGAUAACCAGUCGAAAGACUGGCUAAUACCGCAUGAGAUCGAAAGAUGAAAGCGGGGGACCCGAGGGCAACUUCGGGCCUCGCGCGAUUGGAGCGGCCGAUGUCGGAUUAGCUAGUUGGCGGGGUAAAAGCCCACCAAGGCGACGAUCCGUAGCUGGUUUGAGAGAACGACCAGCCACACUGGGACUGAGACACGGCCCAGACUCCUACGGGAGGCAGCAGUGGGGAAUUUUGGACAAUGGGCGCAAGCCUGAUCCAGCCAUGCCGCGUGUGUGAAGAAGGCCUUCGGGUUGUAAAGCACUUUCGGCCGGAACGAAAUCGCGCGGGCUAUUACCCCGUGUGGAUGACGGUACCGGAAGAAGAAGCACCGGCUAACUACGUGCCAGCAGCCGCGGUAAUACGUAGGGUGCGAGCGUUAAUCGGAAUUACUGGGCGUAAAGGGUGCACAGGGGGGCCCCCCUGUCAGGGGUGAAAACCCCCGGCGUUACCCGGGAAUGGGGCUUUU